ensembl:lncRNA
GGUUCUCCUUCGGUCCUGGAUAUGGCAGAAAGCUUGACCCAGAGAACCAACAGAAGCCCCCGGGGAGAUGCAGACACAUACCGGCAAAAGGCAUACUUCAGCUCCCUGAAGACUGGUGAACGAUGAUGGCUGACCUGGGGCGUAUUCACUGAAGACAAAAUGAGACAGUGUGAUGUGGAAAAAAGGAAAUGUGUUUUGGAGUCCUGCAGUUGUGAUCCAGUGAUACUGCUUAACAGGUAACCAGUUUUCAUUUACUCUGGUAACCUCAUCUUCUUAUCCAUGAAAUGGAGACUCCAUCACUUUCAAAAAAUGGCUUUGGAGAUUAAAAGAGAUAAUACAGCACCUGGCAGAGCUGCCUAGUUCAUCAUCGUCAUCACCAUCAUCAUGUAGCACUAAUAACGUUUAAUGCUCGUUGGUCUCCAGCUGUAUGCCCAACACUUAGCUUAACAUCCUAAGUAGGUACUUUCAUUAUAUGUACUUGAUGGAGAAGAAACCUGAAAUUCUCCAGCUUGACUUGCCCAAGUUCGCGUAACUAAUAAACACUCACUUUUUAAAUUGAAGCCAUAUCAGUUUGAUGCUCAAGCUCAUGAACUUCAAUCACUCUGCUAAAUUUACUUGUCCCUGUGUUGCACGACCUUCCCCAGUGAUGCUCAGUGGCUUGAGAUCUGAGAAUCUAGCGGCACAGCUGACUGAGGGUAGGGGUGAAUGAGGCAGGUAGAUGGGAGAGGAGAAAGUUAAUGGUCCCAGGGAGUGCCCUAUGAAAUGACUCAGACAAGAGGAUGUGAGCAAGCGUGUGGGUGGGGGAGAAGGCAACCUAGAAAUUGGUGUUAGGAAACUGACAUGAAGCCAAGAGUCAUGAACUGAGGAAACUGAGCAAGUCUGGUGAUUAGAAGGCAAGAUAAAGCCCCCAACUAUCCACCCAAAGUGUCUCUUCUCUUAGCAGCUGUGGAUCUGAUGGCUUCUAAAGGCUCCUUAGAGAAAAGUGGAAACACACGCUUGUGUUAUGCUGACUGGAUUCUAACUGUAGGAAACUUGUGGAAAUGAAACCACAUCAAGAGGAAAAAGUCAUGGUAGUCCCAGCAUCCCUCACACUACAGAUACCUUUCUUUAAAAAUAUCAGUGAAGAAAAUGCAUGGUUGAGAAUCUUAACACCAUAGGAAAAAUAGAGUUGAGAGGACCAGUGCCACAGAAACCUUAUGAACAACCUUGUAAAACUUUCAUCAAUGCAAAAUAAAUCUAACUGAAUCCAAUUAAAGGAACAUCAACUGUGUUUAAUACAUUUUAAAUUAACAGCAGUUGAUGCUAUGCAAUUCAUUAAUGUGUCAUGGAAAAAUUAAAUAUUGCCCUUUCUUGAGGCAUCAGAGGAAUUCAUUUUGCUUUGUCGUAGACAUAUCAUUUUUUUGCUUUGUCAUAGAUAUGUCAUUUUUUCCUAUUUUGCUUUGUCAUAAACAUAUCAUUUUUUUCCUAUUUGAUUUUCAUUCUAAAUGUUUAA